UUUUCUUUUGUUUUUAAAAUCAAGACUUUCUCUUAUUGCAUACCUCAGUGGGAGUAUAGUUGCUUAGUAACCCUGCACUGACUGGGGGCUGUUGCUCUCAGAGCUAUACCCGGGAGGAACCUGCGUGUGAAUGAGACGGCUGUCAGCAAGCCUACACUCAAAGGAUUUACCCGGUGCAGAGAGCUCCAAGAGAACACCAGAGCCCCUGGUAUUCUGGUUCACUUGAAUUUGUCCUCCUGCCUAUUCCAUAUUUUUUUCACACAUAUAAUCAUUUGUUUGCAGUCCGGAAAUAUAAAACCAUUCAAGAAACGGAGGCCCAACUAUUGGCUUCCCGAUUAUUCUACCAACUCUACCAAAUCCUUGUUCUUCGUUGCACAAUUAGCUGUGAAACAGACAGAGGUUACCUACAAUAAGUGCAUGUCAUUUUGGACUAGCCAUAUUUCAAGGGCUCAGUAUGGCUAAUGGCCACUAUAUUGGACAUCGACGGUCAAACCCAUUUUACAUUCCCCUGACAACUAUGAUUGGUGUGAGGCCUAUGAUGGCCCAAC
rnacentral:lncRNA from 1 species